GUGGGAUAUUGAAGAUCCCGAUCUUUUUACGAAUACCCAUCAGCUUAUGGGAUAUUCAAGAUGCCUAUUUGAGGGAACAUGUUACCCUUUAAAUGGGCGAGAUUUAGGGUAAACUAGCCUUCUAGAACUCUAACGGAAUUUGAAUUCUUAUUGAAGAGUCCACAAAUUUUAAUUGUCUACAAAUGCCCCUACCUUUUCAAAUAUAAAUUCAAGGGCUUAAAGCUUAAUCUUGAAUUUGAACUUGGUUUGUGGACUUGAGGGACUUGAUCUUAGCUUGUGCUUGAAUUCAAGGGCUUUUGAGCUUGUUCUUGAAUAUUGUUGUCUUGAUCUUGAAUUUUGAUGAACUUGAUUUGAAUGUUUGAGCUUUUUAAAGAAAUUGCAGCGUUUGAUCCACAAGUUUUUUCUUGCUAGUUGAGGCUAAUUAAAUUCAUAAUUAAAC
rnacentral:lncRNA from 1 species